ACAGAGUCCAGUCUGGCUCUUACCUCAGCACGGGGUGGUUCACCUUCAUUCUGGCCAUGGAUGCCUGUUACGGCAUUCACGUCUACGGGAUGAUAAAUGACACCUACUGCAAGACAGAAGGGUAUAGAAAAGUCCCUUACCAUUACUAUGAACAAGGAAGAGAUGAAUGUGAUGAAUAUUUUCUUCAUGAACAUGCCCCAUAUGGGGGGCAUAGGUUUAUCACUGAAAAGAAAGUGUUUGCUAAAUGGGCCAAGAAACACAGGAUAAUAUUUACACACCCAAACUGGACAGUGUCUUGAUGUUGGCUUUUCUGACCUUGGCACACCGCUUGACAUGACCAUGAUGCUGAGAUUGUGAUGCUAAUGAUGCUAAUGCUGAUGAUGGUGAUGAUAAAGACAACAACGAUAAUCAAGUUUCUGUACAUUCUCAGAUAUGGAUGGUGAUUCUACCUGUAAUUUGAACUUGGGAUUUUGUGGAGGCUGGUUGUGCUCAUUACGUUCUUUCUGAAGGUUCAACAUUACAUAUUGCACUUUAUAAUUUAACUGGAAUUGAAAUGAAGGCCAGUAAUAUGACAACAGUGACCUAAGAAAUUGGAAGAUUAUCCUUCAAGAUUGCUGCCCAGGAUUCUUGGACAGUGAAUAACUUCCAAAAUCCCUGGGAUUUGACCUCAUGAGGCAAGGUUACUGACUCUGGUCUCUUGAGCCUGAGCAGCUCCACCAUCUUGAAGAAUGGUUGAUUGUCAAACACUGACCCAAGAAAUGCUCACUAGGUAAACUUGCCACAGUGACAGCUUGGCCUUGGGGCAGGGAAGAAUUCUCUUUCUGACUUACCAUCUUCCUACAGUACCUCCAACAGAUAAAGCCUCAGGCCAUUUCCUUAUUAAUGAGGAAGAUACCAUGGACACCCUACCCAUCAGGAUUACUUGACUAUCUCAAACACUUCAUUCAGAAUGGGCCAACUAGCAAAUCUUGAUGAAUUUCUACUCUCAUCACUCCAUUCUUACUACCUGCCCCCCCCCCAAAUAUAACUAAACAUAUUACUAGAAUGAUCUGUAUUAAUGUUUAGUUAUUUUUGGUCAAGUCCUAAAUAUUUCAGAAAGCUAUUUAACAUAUAAUAUACCAACACUGUAAUAACAUAUACUGUGAAAACAUUCUUAAAACAUAACCAAAAGGGUUUCCUAACUCUACUACAACAUCCAACAACGCAAAAUUUGAUGCUUUUUAAAAUCAUGAAACAGGGAAAGCAAAGCAUAUUUUUACAUCAAUUUGUAUCCUACCAUACUUCAUAAUAUAUAUUUGUAUAUUCAAAUUUCUAUUUUAUAGGCCCAAGAUGUGUCUCUCCACACAUUACAUUAUCAUUGCCAAGUGCCAACUGUUAGACAUGGAGAGGAAAUGAUUUCUUGUAUUUAAUUUGACUGGAGAUUUUGCCUUCUUGGGGGUUUAUUUUCCCCAGAGUGUAUCAAUUGCUAUACCACAAUAACACAAUAAUAAUGACCUUGAUGUCCAAAGUACUUUGUCAUGUAGAGUUUUUCACAUAUGCUGUCUCAUGUGACACCCGUGACCACCCCACUGGGCUAUUGUCUACACAUUCUGACAUAUUAGCAGAUGAUCUAUAAUUUGUUAAUUGCUCUAAUAUGUUCCAGAUUGCUCCCCUUGCUAAUAUUUGUAUAGAAUAGCAUUUGUGUAGACUAGCAACCAAUUGAUUUCAGUGCCAAAUAAAUGUAUUAUAUCAAGAUUAUGCAGAAGGCAUCCCAAGGAUGGGUCUUGGCCAUAGACUAAAACCCCUGUGAACAAAGGGUACUUUUGAUUUUUUUCCCAUGACUCCAUUUAGGUGGGGAAAAGAUGAGGUAAAGGGACAACAGGAAAGAAUAGAAGCAGAGAAAUAUAGUUUCUUGUCUCCACCUUAAGAUUACUUUGUUCUCCAGACACUCAUUGCUUGUCAAAUAUUAGAGGGUUAAAUUACUGAGAGAGGAGCUCAGAGACCAAAGACAUCCUUACCGGUAUUCAGAGGACAAAGCUGGGCUCAAUUCACAGCCUGUUUCAGAGGCUGGAAGUGAUGAUAAUUUUCACCUCAGGAGCUCUCUGUAGGUCUCUACCAGUAUUAAGCCCCACCAUUAGCUAUCCUUAAAAUGGGUCCUCUUGUGAAAAGUCCUCUUUCCUGUUCUCUUCUGCCAUUUCAAUACCUCAGUCCUCACAUCCAUAAAAAUGACCAAGUGCCACUUUCAUUGUUUAAACUGUUAUUGUUGUUUUUCUUUUGCUGUUUCCUCAUGUGACUUUCAGUUGUAUAUAUGUUAGUUUUUGCAAGCUAAUGAUGGAUAGAAAUGCCCACUCAAAGGAAAAUAAACAGAUGAAAAUGUCA